rnacentral:rRNA from 1 species
UUAAGUGACGAUAGCCUAGGAGAUACACCUGUACCCAUGCCGAACACAUAAGUUCAGCCCUAGAACGCCGGAAGUAGUUGGGGGUUGCCCCCUGUGAGAUAUGGUAGUCGCUUAGC